GAAAUAAAGACAAUUAUUUCCAUAGUUGACACAAACUUUGGGUCAACUGCUUUCAGUGUCCGAACCUUGGCAUUCCAUAAAGACGAUAAGUGUAUGGGAAAUUAUUGGUAUAGACUUUGCUGGACUAUUUACUGAAACAUCAAUGGGUAACAAAUACUUCAUGAAUUGUACUGUAUAUAAGAUCUUGGGUAUAAAAAGACAAAAAACUGCUGUUUAUCACCCACAAACAAAUGAACAAGAUGAAAAUACAAAUAAAAGUAUAAAAAGAAAAAUCAGAAAACUUGAGGAAAUUCAGUCAAACUGGGAUGAGUAUCUUGACAUUUUUCUAUCCCUUAUAUAUUAGAAGGCAAACUUCUACAAAAGUGUCACCUUUUGAGUUGAUAUUUGGUGGUCGUUCACCUGUUUGCAUAAGUGAGUUUAAAGAAGUAAGUAUAUUUGGGAUAAUAUGUUCACCAAUCACACUUAUUUUAUAUAUAUAUAUCACUUUAACUUGAC